GCUUUGGCAAUAUGUAUAUACUAAAACUGGAACAAUGAAGAGAAGGCCAGCAUGGCUCCUGCACGAGACGACGCAUAAAUUCACGAGAUGGUCACUAUCCUU
rnacentral:snRNA from 1 species